rnacentral:rRNA from 1 species
AUACGGAGGGUGCAAGCGUUAAUCGGAAUUACUGGGCGUAAAGCGCACGUAGGUGGUUCAUUAAGUCAGAUGUGAAAGCCCCGGGCUCAACCUGGGAACUGCAUUUGAAACUGGUGAGCUAGAGUAUGGUAGAGGUAAGUGGAAUUCCAGGUGUAGCGGUGAAAUGCGUAGAUAUCUGGAGGAACAUCAGUGGCGAAGGCGACUUACUGGACCAAUACUGACACUGAGGUGCGAAAGCGUGGGGAGCAAACAGGAUUAGAAACCCCAGUAGUCC